rnacentral:rRNA from 1 species
GACGAACGCUGGCGGCGUGCUUAACACAUGCAAGUCGAACGGAAAGGCCCUGCUUUUGUUGGGUGCUCGAGUGGCGAACGGGUGAGUAACACGCGAGUAACCUGUCCCUGACUUAGGGAUAACUUCAGGAAACUGGGGCUCAUACCGGUUAGGAGCUCCUGCUGCAUGGUGGUGGAUGGAAAGUUUCGGUGGUUGGGGAUGGACUCGCGGCUUACCAGCUUGUUGGUGAAGUAGUCGCUUACCAAGGCUUCGACGGGUAGCCGGUCUGAGAGGGGGACCGGCCCCAUUGGGACUGAGAUACGGCCCGGACUCCUGCGGGAGGCAGCAGUGGGGAAUAUUGCACAAUGGGCGGAAGCCUGAUGCAGCAACGCCGCGUGCGGGAUGAUGGCCUUCGGGUUGUAAACCACUUUCGCAUGUGACGAAGCGUGAGUGACGGUAAUGGAUAAAGAAGCACCGGCUAACUACGUG